AGCCAAUCAGCUGUCAGUUCCAGCGCGCCAUAUGUGUAAACAGCACGGAGAGUCGGAGACAAGACAUCAGAAACAUAGGCAAAAUGACUGUGAACGCGAAACCAAAUGGUUGGCCAGGAGUUAUAAACUUUCCUUUAAUAAAAGACAAGCCUAAUUAUGAAGUACAUCUGCAAAUAGAUGCAAACGCAGGAUUUCUGAUGACAAGGCGUGAGACUACACAU
rnacentral:lncRNA from 1 species